CCCAGACUCCUACGGGAGGCAGCAGUGAGGAAUAUUGGUCAAUGGGCGGAAGCCUGAACCAGCCAAGUCGCGUGAGGGAAUAAGGCCCUACGGGUCGUAAACCUCUUUUGCCGGGGAGCAAGGGCCGGGACGCGUCCCGGCCCGGAGAGUACCCGGAGAAAAAGCAUCGGCUAACUCCGUGCCAGCAGCCGCGGUAAUACGGAGGAUGCGAGCGUUAUCCGGAUUUAUUGGGUGUAAAGGGGGCGCAGACGGCAGCGCAAGCCAGGAGUGAAAGCCCGGGGCCCAACCCCGGGACUGCUCUUGGAACUGCGCGGCUGGAGUGCAGGAGGGGCAGGCGGAAUUCCUGGUGUAGCGGUGAAAUGCGUAGAUAUCAGGAGGAACACCGGUGGCGAAGGCGGCCUGCCGGACUGCGACUGACGUUGAGGCCCGAAAGCGUGGGGAGCAAACAGGAUUAGAUACCCCGGUA
rnacentral:rRNA from 1 species